UGUGGCUCAGUUGGUAGAGUGCUUGUCUCACAAGUGUGAGGCCCUGGGUUCUAUUCUCAGCA
rnacentral:tRNA from 1 species